ensembl:lincRNA
AUGCCCCUCCCUGUAGCUGGUCGCAAAGUGCAGGAAACACCUGCCCGGUUUUCUGUCCUGUGGGUGGCUGAGACCCCGGCAUUGGACCCGCGAGGCGACCUGUCUGAAUGCAGAAGACACACAGGCCCACAGUCCUGGCCACGCCCCGAGAAACCGGCUGCUUUCCCCUGGGGACUAUUGACCGGCCGCCUCUGUGGCCAGGCACAGGCCAGGGAGUGCAGAGAGGCCUGUCCCCCGCUGCAAGCCUGGGAUGCAGCGACCUCACCGCAGAGCAGAAAGGCCUCACUGCAGUGGGCGCCCGGGGCCAGGAUUUGGCUAUGCCCGGGGCAGGUACAAAAGAGCCAUGACUUUUGUUGCCCUAAAAAUGAAUUCACGGAACAAAGACAGUGCAGGAAGCAGGUGUCCUCUGAUGCACCGGGCCACCCGCCUUCCCGAGCCCAGCCUGCCUUCCCCUUCUCCGUGACCUCCCUCGCAGUGGAGGCUUGGAGGGAGCUGCUCACUGAGCCUACCUCUGCGCACACCCAGCUGCCACCUCACCUUCCCCUUCGCCCUGGCUCAAUCCCAGGCCUCGGUUUGCAGAUGCGGCUCCGUCCUCCCUCCCCCAGCCCAGAGGAUUCCAGCUGGGAAGGGCGGCGAGGCUGGCAGUGUCCCCUCAGGGGAGUCACUGCGUCCCUCCGUCCCUGCUCCACCCUCAGCCCCUUGAGAGGAGAGAGGCCUGGGGGUCACCGUCUCCCCUGCCAACCUGCUCUCAGCUCGGGUUCCUGCCUGUCCUUCCCGGUGGCUCCUCCGAGGAAGAGCAAGGCCCCGCCCUCAGGAGAGAAAGCAAAGGAGACGCUGGAGUGCUGUGAAGGAGACUGGGGAUCUGAGCUGAGCAGGGAUGUUCUGCUCCGUGCCAUGCCAGUGCUGACGGGCAGCCACUGGAGAGAACAGGCCGCCCCAGAAGGUGCUCCAACACGCAUGAUUUAUGAGGCGCCCCCGAUGUGAGCUGGAACAGCUUGCUCCUUCACACUAAAUAAAACCAAAAGCGGCACAGGAGUGCGGCGUCUGUGAGCGCCUUGUGUGUACAAAUGACCGUCAUAAAUCUUUCCGCUCUGCGACGCAUCUUUGGGGAGUUUGGCUGAGAAGCCAGAGCUGGAGAGCGAGCGAGGAGGGAGAGGAAGCAGAGUCUGAAUGUCCUGUGCGUCCUCUGGGGUCCUCGGGGCGGGGCGGGGGGUGCUGUCCUGCAGGAAGCGGGACGGGAUCUCUGUUCCUCUGCCCCUCCCCACUCCUGCUGUUCACAGCUCCUGAACAGCACAAAGCAAGCCUGUCUGUGCGGACCAUUGCUGCUGGCCAAGGCGUCCGGCUGAAAAAGUUCUUGGGAAGCCCAGUGAAGGUCCCUCUGUAACAACCUAGAAGGCCACUUCUUAGAACAAAGAAAUCACCCUGGUGUUCGGGCCCGACGGGGUUUUGUGUUAGGGUAGAUUUUGUCAGCAGCAGCAGAGAUCCAGCACAAACCAGCCUAAACAAAGGAGAAAAGAUAUUGAUUUCUAGAACCAGGACUUGCGUAGCAAGUCGAGGGCCUCGGGCACAGCUGGAUCCAGGAGUUAAAUGAAGUCAUCGUGAUCCCUCCGUGGGUGCAUAUGGCUGACUCUCCCCAUUCUCGGUGGCCACGGUCUACAGCGUCACCACCGCGCGGGCAGAUGCUGAGCCUCUGGUCCUUAGGGAACAGGAUCAGGUUCCUUUGAGCCUCUGGUCACCACAUUUUCACCACCCAUCAGUCUGUCACCUUGGUCUGUUUCUGCUUAAAGACACUGUAUUUAGUGUAUAGAGUUGAUUCAUUAACGUUGAACUCACAGCCAACAGCACCUACACAGGCCUGAGCGAAGCGUCUCCAUCGCAUGUCACAGCUCCUGCACUCAGGGUCACUCGAGAGGACCUCAGCUCUGUUCCUGAGGCUACUUUAAGCUGCAACAUCACCGACAAAGAGCAUGAAAAUGUGAAUGACAGGACUCUAAAAAGAACGCACGUUUACUCCGAGAGCGGAAACAAGAAGGCGGGUGCGGCCUCACUCCUUCCCCGCCAGGGACGCACGUGGGCGACACGGCUUCCAGAAGCUCUGUGCACGCCUGUGAAUGACCAGGAAAGACCCCGGUACUGAUCUGGGGAUUACGAAUACGUUUUAGCAAGUAAGCGGAUGUGUCUGCGUCUCUGCACCCCCUCCCCCGCUCCCUCCCACCUCCCCUGCAUCCUGCCGCCCCCGGGCUGACUUUAUUCCCAGGCAGGGCCCCCCAAGGGUUUCUACCAGCAGCUCCAGAUUUGCCUCUUACCCCCUAGAGUUCCCCACCUGAAAAACCAAGGGCCUCUUCUCAGCAGCCCCAGGUACAGCCGCGGGCCCCUGGCAGGCAUCUUGUUCCACCCCAAGAAUAGGAAGUGUCUGGGCCUCAUGGGCUGUGUAGGCCAGUGGACUGGAGGUGGAGAGGGAGAGGCCCACUGCUAUCGGAGGGCGGCAGGCGACAACCCGGCCUUUACCCUCGGGGUCUCUUUGCAGGAGGUCAAAGCCCCCACACUCAGCGUCAGGAGCUCAGCACCUGCCUGCCCCAACCUGCCUGACCCUCCAUCCCUGCGCUGUGAACGGUGACUCUGUCCCCGCUGUGCCUGGUGGCAAAGGUGACCCUUGACUUCCAAUCUGUCAGCAGACACCGUGGGUUCCACCCCCAGGUUAAGUGCAGAAUCUGCCCAAUUCUGGCCACCUCUGCGGCCCAGCCUUGACCCCAGGCACCCUCGUCUCUCAGCCGGACGACGGCUGAGACAAUGGCUGCAGCACCCACCACCCUCCCACCUCUCCUGGGUCUCAGUCAGUCCCAGACAAUGGCCGCAGCACCCACCACCCUCCCCAGGUCUCAGUCGGUCCCAGACAAGGGCCGCAGCUCACCGCCCUCCCGCCUCUCCCAGGUCUCAGUCGGUCCCCGGCACAGCAGCUGCCGCCACACUGAGGUCACUACACUGCCCUCCGCUCCUGACCCCGCACCGUCCCCCUGGGACUCUCCGGUGCUCUAUGGGUGGGUGCACGACCCAGGUGGGGAAAAUGGAAGAGAGCAGAGGUCGCCUGGGGGCAGGAGCCCAGGACACCCACCCUGCGACCACACUCAGAGCCGACUCAGCCCAUGGACGGCUGCGGUUUCCUUGUGUGCAGCCCCCGUGAGGAACCUGACUGCACGAGGCUCCUCCAGGGCUCCGUGAGACUCCGUCUCAGGGGCCUUCACCUGCUCUCGGCUUUAAACGAACCACUGAGAAUCACCUGUAACAACCUCACAAAGAAAAUAAAUCUCUCGCUGGCUUCAAGGCUCUGGGGCCAGGGCUGUGGGCUUUUCAAAUCCUGCAGGCUGUGGCCUGGGCAUUUGCCAACUCUCACUACUGCAUAAUUUAAUCUAAUUGAUCAAUUAAAUCCAGAUAAUUUUUAAACAAGCUGUAAUAACAGUUAUAUAAUUUCAGUACCACAUAUAAUUAUUCUAACUUUACUGAAGGAAAUGGCUAAGACAUGCCAUCUGCAUUCUGGAAACUGUCACCUCUGGAGCCGCAGGACUGGCAGGCAGCUGUCCUCUGAGCCGGCUGACUCUGGGAGGUCAGGGCCGCCCUCAGAGGAGGCCGUCGCUGUGGGUCUGAGUCCCGCAGCCCUUCUGAACCACCGCGUCGCGUGGCGUGUGGGGAUGCUGUGGCGCCUUCUAUGUCAUCCGUAAGAAUGCGAAACAACCGCCUGGAUCUGUGGAAUUAGGAAUCCGUUUCUAUCGCCACAGUUACACUGUGUGACAACCACACAAAUCCUCAGAGAAGAGCAGGAAAUAUUCACUUUUGCUCACGAAUCUGUGGGUUGGCUGUGGGUUCUGAGGACUUGCUUGGGCCUGUGAAUCCGUGGCCGGCUCUGGGUCUCCCUGGACUUGGCCAUGUUUACCCGUGAAUCUGUGGGCCCUGUGGGUCCCCCUGGACUUGGCUGGGCUCACCCGUGAAUCGGUGGCUGGCUGUGGGUUUGUUGGUGGCUCUCCUACCCCUGCCUGGUUCUUCUGUGUCUGGGCGUCCAUUGAGAUGAUCCCACUCUCUGCUGGUGGGCUGGCAGAUCACCACAGAUUUCCGAGGUGAUCAUGGGGUCAGAGAAGACACGAAGAUACUCAAGUGCCAUUCCGAGCCCCGCGUGCAUCCUGGUGGCUGCUGUUCCAGGCAGCAGAAGUCCACUUGGUCGCAUCUGUGACCUGGGCACAGCCAUCCGCACCCCCAGCCUCCGCCUGGUACACCUUGGAUUCCUUCCAUUCUGAUGCCGUGGUGGUGUCGGGGUGGCCUCUGGCUGCCCUUCAAGGUUGUGGGGGGGACACUUACAGGCUUCUGUGUCCUGGAGACCCACACUGGGGACACGCCUGAGCUCAGGUCUGGCUCUGUGACCUCAAGCAAGUUACCCCGCCUUCCCGUGCCUCAGCCCAACCUCGCUUCACCUGUCAAACACCAACAGCCACCUGACCCUGGCAGAGUCACGCAGGGAGCAUGCAGGGCGCUGACCCCAUGGCAAUGCCCACACAGCGUGAGCCCCACCCGAGCCCCGCUGCUGAGUUCAUUUCAUGACAGACACCUGGGAGAGCCAUGAGUCCCCAUCCCGACACGGAGGAGCCGGGGCCAGGGAGGCGGAGGCUGGAGCUGGUCCCGACACGGAGGAGCCGAGGCCAGGGAGGUGGAGGCUGGAGCUGGUCCCAACACGGAGGAGCCAAGGCCAGGGAGGCGGAGGCUGGGGCUGGUCCCGACACGGAGGAGCUGAGGCCAGGGAGGCGGAGGCUGGAACUGGUCACCGGCGUUCAGUUCUGGGCCCACCGCGGAGUCCACGUGCCAGGCGGCCUAACAAGCCUUGCUGGCCAUGCGCCUCCACCUGCAAACACAUCCCCUCUUGUGGCUCUGGAGGCCAGGGCCCACGCAGCUGCUUCAUUCUGAGGUGGGAGGUGCGGUCCGUCUCCACCUUUCUCCAGGGCGGCUGGUGUUCUCCACCUUUCCUGACUCUAGGUGUGUCUCCCGGCCUCUGGCUUCAUCUCCCGUGGCCUCCUCCCUGUGUGUGUGUUUCUGUGCCCGGAUCUCCCCUUUUCAUCAGGGCACAGUCAUGUGGGGUUCAGCCCAUCCCACUCCAGUGUGGCCUCAUCUUAACCCCUC